rnacentral:rRNA from 1 species
CCUACGGGAGGCAGCAGUGAGGAAUAUUGGACAAUGGCCGAAAGCCUGAAGCAGCAAAGUCGCGUGAGCGAUGAAUGUCCUAGGGUUGUUAAGCCUCGUUUUUCAGGAAGAUAAUUCACGUACUUGUGGAGGUAGCCCCGUCCCACUACAUAACAGCAGCCGCGGUAACACGUAGGCGGCGAGCGUUAUCCGGAGUUACUGGGCGUAAAGGGGGCGUAGGGGGUUUAUUAAGUCAGAGGUGAAAGUCUCCGGCUAAACCGUAGUAAGCCGUUGAAACUGAGGAACUUGAGUGGAGGAGAGGUGAGUGGAAUGCGUGGUGUAGCGGUGAAAUGCAUAGAUAUUAGGCGGAACACCGAUUGCGAAGGCAGCUCUCUGGACUGUGACUGACGCUGAGGCACGAAAGCGUGGGGAGCGAACAGGAUUAGAUACCCCAGUAGUC